rnacentral:rRNA from 14 species
UAAGCCAUGCAUGUCUAAGUAUAAGCAACUAUACGGUGAAACUGCGAAUGGCUCAUUAAAUCAGUUAUGGUUCAUUAGAUGAGUCCAAUCCUACUUGGAUAACUGUGGCAAUUCUAGAGCUAAUACACGCCUCCAAGCUCUGACCUAUCGGGACGAGCGCUUUUAUUAGACCAAGACCAAUCGGGCUUCGGUCCGUUUCCUUUGGUGACUCUGAAUAACCUUUUGAAGAUCGCACGGUCUCGAACCGGCGAUGCAUCUUUCAAAUGUCUGCCUUAUCAACUGUCGAUGGUAAGUUAUGCGCUUACCAUGGUUGUAACGGGUAACGGAGAAUCAGGGUUCGACUCCGGAGAGGGAGCCUGAGAAACGGCUACCACAUCCAAGGAAGGC